CUGGAGUAACUGAUGGAUCAGUGAUACAAUCAUUGAUACAAGUUAUGACUGAUGAGAAUUACCAGCUCACUGGACCCUGACUCUAAGAAUCUGAAGAGUUAUUACGUGUGUAUCCUCCAUAUAUAAAUUAUUUUGAAGUCACUAAGGAGGCUCUCAGUUCCUGUGAUCGUCAGUUCCCAAGGUUUCAUGCUUUCCUUAAGUGUAAUGAGUCCAAACCAGAGUGUGGCCGCCAGACACUAUCAGAACUACUGAUAACACCAGUACAAAGAAUACCAAGGAUCAUAUUAUUACUACAAGAUUUAUUAAAGCGUACUGAUACUGGCCACAUUGAUUACAA